GUUUCCGUAGGUGAACCUGCGGAAGGAUCAUUACCGAGUGAGGGCCCUCUGGGUCCAACCUCCCACCCGUGUUUAUCGUACCUUGUUGCUUCGGCGGGCCCGCCUCACGGCCGCCGGGGGGCACCCGCCCCCGGGCCCGCGCCCGCCGAAGACACCAUUGAACGCUGUCUGAAGAUUGCAGUCUGAGCAUCUUAGCUAAAUCAGUUAAAACUUUCAACAACGGAUCUCUUGGUUCCG
rnacentral:misc_RNA from 1 species